rnacentral:tRNA from 1 species
GCACCCGUAGCUCAGCUGGAUAGAGCGCUGCCCUCCGAAGGCAAAGCUAAGUCAAGCGGCUUUGUUGCGGGUGUU